UCACUCUCCACAGCGAGGGCAGCUGCUUUCUCCUCCCGCUGCUGCACCCGAGUCGGCAGCUCUGCCAGGAGCCGGCGUUCCUGUCACCCUGAAAUUUCACUUGGGGGUCCUCACAGGUAACGUCAUCUCCGAGGCCCUGAGGUCAGCUCUGGGACAGCUAGGGUGGAUCAUUGGCUUAAAAAAGGGAGAUCAGAGGACUCACUUUCUCAAACCACAGCUAUACCGUAUACAGGAAAAAAUGCUGAAAAAAUGAAACUGACUUAUCAGAAAGUUCUCUGACUCCUGGAAGGGAGGAAUCUAUUCCAAAGAAGCUGGGUCAGACUGCGAAGGAACGGGAUUACGAUGGAAGUGAUCUUUCCCAAAAUAUGAUAAGUUCCUUGAAAGUAAAAAAUUGAAAAUUUGUCUAACUUUUCAAACAAAUUAAAAAAGCCACCGAAGCUAUGUGAUGGGCAUACAGCAAAUCUCUGUAUUUUUUUUUCCUGUAAACCUAAAAUUAUUUCCCCUCAUAAAAUUAUUUAAAACACGAAACAAAACCACUGAAGAACCUUGAAAGGUAAGUUAUUGUAUUGCUUUGGCUGAAGAAACAUACACAACAGCCUGGUAGAGCUUGACACUGCUGAACGUCUGCUGGAUGGAAAACUGUGGAUGGAAAGUCAGCAAAAGAGAUGACAGCCUGCUGCUUCCCAAUGAAACUGUAGCUUGUUGAAUCAAAGAUUAAGCUGCAAACAUGAAUGCUGAGUGAAUAUUUCAUUUUUAGAAGUAUGCCUGGACUUGCUAUUUGACUUGUAGUCACACAGUAACAUCAAAGAUCUUUUAUGUAGAUGGUUGGCAAUAAAACACAAGUGAUGCUGGCUGAAAGAUUUAACAUUCUGAAAACCUUUACUGACUUUCAAUUGUUCAUCCGGGAACAACUGUACUGACAUCUGCCCAGGUGGUAUGAAAGCAGCAGAGGAUAAAACCACUGCAGCCUGAGCAUCCCUCAGGGCAGGGCUGCCAAACUCUACUGGCAGUCACACUAUUCUCUACUGCUACCGCAGGCAGGCAGGCCGACAGACAGACAGACAGAAAGAUGAUAGAUAAAUAGGUAGAUGGUAAGAGUUUCAUUUGAGGGUACAUUUGAUGAAGCAGCAGAAAUUAAUCUGAUUAAAUCUUGAUUCUUGUGGCC